rnacentral:pre_miRNA from 1 species
UCAAACUUUUAUCUGUGACUUUGAUAAAAAUGAAAUUUUCAUCAAAGUCACUAAUAAAAGUUAUC